rnacentral:rRNA from 1 species
AUUGAACGCUGGCGGCAGGCUUAACACAUGCAAGUCGAGCGAGCGGCGGACGGGUGAGUAAUGUCUGGGAAACUGCCUGAUGGAGGGGGAUAACUACUGGAAACGGUAGCUAAUACCGCAUAACAUCAGCUGUGCCCAGAUGGGCGUAGCUAGUAGGUGGGGUAAUGGCUCACCUAGGCGACGAUCCACAGCUGGUCUGAGAGGAUGACCAGCCACACGGGAACGGAUAAACGGUCCAGACUCCUACGGGAGGCAGCAGGGGGGAAUAUUGCACAAUGGGCGCAAGCCUGAUGCAGCCAGGCCGCGUGUGUGAAGAAGGCCUUCGGGUUGUAAAGCACGUUCAGCGAGGAGGCGUUACUCGCAGAAGAAGCACCGGCUAACUCCGUGCCAGCAGCCGCGGUAAUUC